rnacentral:rRNA from 1 species
CACGUAGGGCGCAAGCGUUGUCCGGAAUUAUUGGGCGUAAAGAGCUCGUAGGCGGUCUGUUGCGUCUGCUGUGAAAACUCGGGGCUUAACCCCCGAGCCUGCAGUGGAUACGGGCAGACUAGAGGUAGGUAGGGGAGAAUGGAAUUCCCGGUGUAGCGGUGAAAUGCGCAGAUAUCGGGAGGAACACCGGUGGCGAAGGCGGUCUCUGGGCCUUACCUG